CCCGCCCUUCUCUCCGGCGGCGCGACGGUACAAAUGGGGGAGGGACACAUUCCUCAGCUUGUCUCUCUCUGCGCACUGUUACCGGGAGGGGCGUUGAAAAUGUAUCUGUUCUCUGUAGCUGCUUGGGGAAGUGUAACCAGCAUAAGCAUACUGGACAAAUUUGGGUUGCAUGUACAGCAUGUCUCUGUGCAAAGUUUUGAAGAUAACUUAUUGAACAAAAUCACUUAAAUGGAAAUGAAUAAAACCUUCUUCUUGUAAAAGAUAACAAAGAAGGCAAAGUGCACUUCAGGAAAACAACUUGCAGAAAAACUAUAACAGAUGUAACUAAGAUAUUCUUUUCAUUCUGUGUCUGUCAAAAGUAUUGCCAAGGUUUUCAAUAUUUUCAGUUCAUUAAAUAAAACGAUUAUGAUCUCACCCUAUUUCUUUCAAUUCCCCAUGAAACUAAAAGUCUAAAAGAGAAGAAAAAAUAAAUAAAAGACUGAUAAAAGAUCAAAACAGUGAUAUAUACUUACAGAAGGAACAGUAAACAGUAAAAGCUAUAUGGGUCAGAAAAUGUACCAACAUGACUAGGUCAAGAAGUAGCCAUUAAAUUUGCACCUGGAUAUGUUGUGGUUUGAGAGGAUUCAGUGUAGGCAGGCUACAUUACUUAGCAUCAGUUUUUCUUAACAUUGUCAUACACUUUGCUUGUGUUUUCAAACACAAUGGCCUGUUUUUAAUUGAUGUAUAUAUAUUUUACACACAGAAUUACUGAAACGAGGGUCAAAGACAGAACAUAAAAUCCUCUAAGCAAGGUUCUCCCACUGAUCAUUGCUGAAAGUAAAAAAGUGAAAAGAUCUAGGUUAUCUUUGCCUACACCAGUGUUAUUCAGUACCAAUGCCUCAGACAUGAUGCUUACAUGUGAAACACCUUUGCUAAUUUUGCUUUGCUCCUUUGUCAUUUGUAUUGUAAUUAAUUUUUUUUAAUGUAUCUGUAGGUAUCAAUUUCAUAUAACAGAAAAUGCAAAGUUAUCACUUUACUUAUUGUCUGCAUACCAUCUUUUCUCUGUCUUACUUUUUUUUCCUGACCCUCUCCUGAAAUAAAUUUUCUUGACAUUUCUGUCUUUGCUUUAUAAAUAAUUGUUGAUGGUUCAGCUCUUUUCCUGAAG
ensembl:lncRNA